rnacentral:rRNA from 1 species
GAGUUUGUAUCAUGGCUCAGGACGAACGCUGGCGGCGUGCCUAACACAUGCAAGUCGAGCGGAGACAGUGAGUAGCUUGCUAUGAGCUGUUUAGCGGCGGACGGGUGAGUAACGCGUGAGCAACCUUUCCCAGACAGGGGAAUAACACACCGAAAGGUGUACUAAUACCGCAUAAGACCACGGGAUCACAUGGUUCUAGGGGUAAAAGUAUUU